rnacentral:rRNA from 1 species
AUUGAACGCUGGCGGCAUGCUUUACACAUGCAAGUCGAACGGCAGCACGGGUGCUUGCACCUGGUGGCGAGUGGCGGACGGGUGAGUAAUACAUCGGAACGUAUCCUGAAGUGGGGGAUAACGCAUCGAAGAUGUGCUAAUACCGCAUAUACUCUGAGGAGGAAAGUAGGGGAUCGAAAGACCUUAUGCUUUUGGAGCGGCCGAUGUCGGAUUAGCUAGUUGGUGGGGUAAAGGCCUACCAAGGCGACGAUCCGUAGCGGGUCUGAGAGGACGGCCCGCCACACUGGGACUGAGACACGGCCCAGACUCCUACGGGGAGGCAGCAGUGGGGAAUAUUGGACAAUGGGCGCAAGCCUGAUCCAGCCAUGCCGCGUGAGUGACGAAGGCCUUA